GACGAACGCUGGCGGCGUGCUUAACACAUGCAAGUCGAACGGAAAGGCCCGGCUUUUGUGGGGUGCUCGAGUGGCGAACGGGUGAGUAACACGUGAGUAACCUGCCCUUGACUUUGUGAUAACUUCAGGAAACUGGGGCUAAUACCGGAUAGGAGCUCCUGCAGCACGGUGGGGGUUGGAAAGUUUCGGCGGUUGGGGAUGGACUCGAGGCUUAUCAGCUUGUUGGGCGGGUAGUGGCUUACAAAGGCUUUGACGGGUAGCCGGCCUGAGAGGGUGACCGGCCACAUGGGGACUGCGAUACGGCCCAGACGCCUACGGGAGGCAGCAGUGGGGAGUAUUGCACAAUGGGCGGAAGCCUGAUGCAGAAGCGCCGCGUGCGGGAUGACGGCCUUCGGGUUGUAAACCGCUGUCGCCUGUGACGAAGCGAGAGUGACGGUAAUGGGUAAAGAAGCACCGGCUAACUACGUG
rnacentral:rRNA from 1 species